ACGUUAAAAUUAUUUUUUCUCUUUAUUUUUAUAUUUUUAUCAAUAAAACUAAUAUCAUUAGACUAAAUGAACUUAAUUGUUUUAAUUUUAUAUUUAUAGAGAUGCAAUGCAUACUUUUAAAGUGUAUGGACCGGAAUGCUAUAUCAAUUUUGUUCUUCCUUAUUUAUAAACCAUGUAAAAUAAAAAGAGACCGAGUAGAUUCAAGCUAGAUUUUGCCACUAAGACAUUAUCGAUUGAAUCCAAAUAGCUCAAAGCAUUGAUUUUUUUGGGGCCAAUCUAUGAUUGGAUUAAAAUCAAUUAAUGUCAAUUUUGGUCAACAGUGUUUUAAAGUUGACCCAACCUGAUCUACUUUUUCGAAGGUUUGUUUCCUUUAGGUUUGAACUCGAACCCAAUCCAACCCCAAUUUAUCCCUCAUCUCAUCGGUGGCCCCAUUUCAACCGGGUUACAUUUCAGCAACCGGACUCAACCCAACCCAUGUGUGUACCUAUAUAAAACCCAAUUCAACCAUGUCUUGUCCCCGCGCUCUGCCGACCCAAAUCCGUAAACGAAACCCUCACCGCAGCCCGCUUCUCUCUCCGUCACGAUCACCAGCUUCAGGAACCUCGGCCGCCCUGCCGGCCCCGCGGCUCCAUGCUCAGGACGAUGGUGUCGCAGCUGGUCAAUCACGAGCGCAUCGAGACCAUGGUCGCGAAGGCGAAGCAAGUCCGGCGAAUUGCUGAUAACAUGGUGCAGCUGGGGAAGGCAUGUUUAAAUUCUCUGCUUGUUGAUUCUGAUUCUUAGGGUCCUUGGUUUCGGAUUCGUUGUAGCAGUUUCAAAAUGCUUCAUCGUAUUAUAGUACGAUUGGAAGCACAAUGUUAGGGUAAAUGAUUCUCACAGAACUUUAGUAAGUUGAUGGAUGAAUUUAAGGAGGAUUUGGUGAUACAAGCACAAGCACUUUGUUGUUUUUGGUGAAAUUUUUUUAAUGAUAUUUUCUUGCUAAAAUCUAAAUGCUCUAGAGCAUUUUUUUUGUCCUCAAUUUGAGUGGUUUGUUCAUCUCGGGAUUUAACUGUUCCUUCUCGAUAGUUUAUUUAUGUACUCCAAGCGAUUAUUUGCUCGUCUUACUUCCAAGAAAAUCAUGCUUAUAUAUGCCCAUAUAUAAGCGAUCAACUGUUCUUAUAUAUAUAUAUGUUCAUCAAGGAUACAAAGUCUUCUUUGCUUAAGUCAAAUGCUGACCGUUUCAAUGCUUAUGUUUAUUUUAUGUUCCUUUAGUCUUUCCCCCUUUUUUUUUCUCUCAUGAUGUUUUACCUUAUAGAAGCCUAUUUCUUUGUUUGUUUAAGAUUAUGUUUUUAAUGAUUUGGAGCAGAAUUUUUAGGUCUCAUUUAGCCAUUUUGGUAAAGGGGAAGACAAUAACUACAUUCUGUGUAAAACUACUUCUGUAAUACUAUGUAUAAAGCCAGAUUAAAAGCAACGUAGGAACACAAAUAGCUGAAAUAUCCCUAUCACGUGGGUUAGUAUAAGAUAGAGAAACUUAGCAAAGAAUGCAUCUUAUACACAUGCUCUUUUUUUUGUUCAAA